UACGAAGGGGGCUAGCGUUGCUCGGAUUGACUGGGCGUAAAGGGCGCGUAGGCGGUUCGUACAGUCAGGCGUGAAAUUCCUGGGCUCAACCUGGGGGCUGCGUCUGAUACUGGAUGGCUUGAAUCCGGGAGAGGGAUGCAGAAUUCCAGGUGUAGCGGUGAAAUGCGUAGAUAUCUGGAGGAAUACCGGUGGCGAAGGCGGCAUCCUGGACCGGCAUUGACGCUGAGGAGCGAAAGCCAGGGGAGCAAACGGG
rnacentral:rRNA from 1 species